AAAGCAGCUCUGGCCGCCCCGCGACGACGCUUGUCAAAAGGUACGGGGAAGCUUUUGAUGCUUUGGCCGCUCUGACGUAGCAGCAUUCUAUGUUCGAUCAUGAGAAAAGAUCAAGCAGCCAGUG